rnacentral:rRNA from 1 species
GACGGAGGGUGCAAGCGUUAUUCGGAAUUAUUGGGCGUAAAGAGCGUGUAGGCGGCCGGUUAAGUCAGGUGUGAAAGCCCGGGGCUCAACCUCGGAAGUGAACUUGAAACUGGUCGGCUUGAGUUCGGGAGAGGGAAGCGGAAUUCCGGGUGUAGAGGUGAAAUUCGUAGAUAUCCGGAGGAACAUCGGUGGCGAAGGCGGCUUCCUGGACCGAAACUGACUCUGAGACGCGAAAGCGUGGGGAGCAAACAGG